CAGUAGCCACGGUAAUACGAAGGGUGCAAGCGUUAAUCGGAAUUACUGGGCGUAAAGCGUGCGUAGGCGGUAAGUUAAGUCUGCUGUGAAAUCCCCGGGCUCAACCUGGGAAUGGCAGUGGAUACUGGCUCGCUAGAGUGUGUCAGAGGAUGGUGGAAUUCCCGGUGUAGCGGUGAAAUGCGUAGAGAUCGGGAGGAACAUCAGUGGCGAAGGCGGCCAUCUGGGACAACACUGACGCUGAGGCACGAAAGCGUGGGGAGCAAACAGGAUUAGAUACCCGCGUAGUCCCUGUCUCUUAUAC
rnacentral:rRNA from 1 species